AUACGGAGGGUGCAAGCGUUACUCGGAAUCACUGGGCGUAAAGCGCGCGCAGGCGGCUAUUUAAGUUGGAUGUGAAAGCCUACGGCUCAACCGUAGAACUGCAUCCAAAACUAUUUAGCUAGAGUGUGGGAGAGGAAGAUGGAAUUAGUUGUGUAGGGGUAAAAUCCGUAGAGAUAACUAGGAAUACCAAAAGCGAAGGCAAUCUUCUGGAACACUACUGACGCUGAGGCGUGAAAGCGUGGGGAGCAAACAGGAUUAGAAACCCCAGUAGUCC
rnacentral:rRNA from 1 species